GUCUUCCGCUGCCGCGUGGAUAGGGAAGGACCAUCAGGUUGGGGCAGGGCGAGGCGUGUCUGAGCUCAGACUUUACUUGGGCGGGUCUUGCUGCAGCUGCUGUGGAGAAUGGGGGUCACAUGGAAUCUACACAUGGAAGGACAUAGGCAUUGCAUGCAGGUAUCCGGAAUCAUUGAUAUUGGUCUUAAAAUUUGGAAGUUUCCACUUUUGCUAAGACUGCCAUUUAUAAUGAGCCCUACGGAGAGGCCAUGUGGCAAGAAGCUGAGGCUGCCAGAGGGAACCUGAGGCCUGCCAGCAACCACAUACAUGAGUUUGGAAGUUAAUUCUUCAGCUUCCUUUGAGUCUUGAGGUAGCUACAGCCUGGCCAGAACUUGACUAAACUUCAUAAGGGACACUGAGCCAGAAACACCUAACUAAGCAAAUUCUGGUUUUAUGA
rnacentral:lncRNA from 1 species